UAUUAGUGAUGCAGACAAUCUCUAAGAUGAGACUUAAAUCUCUCUCAUGCAUAACAGAGAUUCUCAUAUAUCUUUCUCUUAAAACUAAUAAUUUCACUCCUCAUUA
rfam:Capsicum annuum cultivar Zunla-1 chromosome 3, whole genome shotgun sequence